AGAGUUUGAUCAUGGCUCAGGACGAACGCUGGCGGCGUGCUUAACACAUGCAAGUCGAACGGGCCUAUAGCAAUAUAGGCUAGUGGCGAACGGGUGAGUAACACGUGACUAAUCUGCCCCGGACUGGGGAAUAACGGUGGGAAACUACCGCUAAUACCGCAUGUUGAGUUCGAGUCGCAUGGCUUGAACUUGAAAGCUUCGGCGGUCCGGGAUGAGGUCGCGUCCUAUCAGCUUGUUGGUGAGGUAACAGCUCACCAAGGCGACGAUGGGUAGCUGGUCUGAGAGGAUGAUCAGCCACACUGGGACUGAGAUACGGCCCAGACUCCUACGGGAGGCAGCAGUGAGGAAUAUUGCGCAAUGGACGAAAGUCUGACGCAGCAACGCCGCGUGAAGGAUGAAGGUGCUUUGCAUUGUAAACUUCUGUAGGGAGGGACGAACCCCCCGCUUCUGGCGGGGCUGACGGUACCUCCAAAGUAAGCACCGGCUAAUUCCGUGCCAGCAGCCGCGGUAAUACGGAAGGUGCAAGCGUUGUCCGGAUUAACUGGGUGUAAAGGGCGUGUAGGCGGAGGAGCAUGUCGGAAGUGAAAUCGUGCGGCUUAACCGUAUCAAUUGCUUUCGAAACUGUUCCCCUUGAGUUCGGAAGAGGCAGAUGGAAUACCAGGUGUAGCGGGAAUGCGUAGAUAUCUGGUAGAACACCGGAGGCGAAGGCGGUCUGCUGGUCCGACACUGACGCUGAGGCGCGAAAGUGUGGGUAGCGAACAGGAUUAGAUACCCUAGUAGUCC
rnacentral:rRNA from 1 species